rnacentral:lncRNA from 1 species
CUAUUGUCCGACUUGAAGGGAUUACAAUUAACGGUGAUAUAUUUUUUUAUGAUCAUAAGCGGUAAUUAGAUGAAAGUUCACAAUUUAGGACAUGGCUUUGCCAUACAGAAACGAGAAAAGUAACAUCCUGAAAAUAAUUAUAGCGUCGCGGAUAUUAUUAUAGCGUCACGGUAAGAAAAUAUAGCGUCGCGGUACCGCGACGCUAAAACGGCCUGGGG